rnacentral:rRNA from 1 species
UUACACCGGCGGCUCGGGUGGUAACCGUUAUUAUUGGGUCUAAAGGGUCUGUAGCCGGCCGGAUAAGUCUCUUGGGAAAUCUGGCAGCUUAACUGUCAGGCUUUCAGGAGAUACUGUCUGGCUCGAGGCCGGGAGAGGUGAGAGGUACUUCGGGGGUAGGGGUGAAAUCUUGUAAUCCUUUGAAGGACCACCAGUGGCGAAGGCGUCUCACCAGAACGGACUCUGACGGCAAGGGACGAAAGCUAGGGGCACGAACCGGAUUAGAUACCCGGGUAGUCCUAGUCGUAAACGAUACUCGCUAGGUGUCGGCAAUCGGUGACGACCGUUGUCGGUGCCGUAGGGAAGCCGUGAAGCGAGCCGCCUGGGAAGUACGGUCCGCAAGGCUGAAACUUAAAGGAAUUGGCGGGGGAGCACCACAACGGGUGGAGCUUGCGGUUUAAUUGGAUUCAACGCCGGGAAUCA